UAUCGCCGCCCCAAAGAAGAACUGGAGGCGGCGAAAGCGGAGAGCAUCGAUUUGGAUUAUGAAAUUGGCACUGACGAGAGUGAUGCUGAUGAGACCUGGAGUCCCUCAAAGGAAUCACAGGUGAAUGAAGAUUCUGAUGAAGAGGAGUCUGACGGGUUUGAAGAUUCUGGGGACAGCAGCUUGGACGAAGAAUACAUUCCUUUACUUUGUUAUCGGAUGAACCUCGAGACCAUGCAGGAGCUCCAGAAACCUCCUCCAGCUCAGCAACCCUGAGAAACCAGAUUAACAGGAAAGGCCCUGAUGGACCAAGACCCCUGCUAUUGGACCUCUCAAAAGACCCCUCUGAAGCCUCCACUAUCAAGCAACUAGGAGACCUCCCUGCCGGCCUGCCUCCCAGUCCCAACCCCAAAACUGAUGCAGCAAUUUCUGUACCAGGCAACACACACAAACUGAUGACAGGAACAUACACAUGGACACUUUACGCUCUAUGGCUGGCUGGCAUAGUGAAGGAAUGGGAUCAUUGAUCUAAUGCUGUGCAGAGGGCCUACAGUGCCAGACCAUUUUCAUAGGUUUCCUUUGCUCUGUAAACAUGGCCUUACUUUUGAGAGUACAUUACUUCCUAAAGGGCCCACCUUCAUUACAUGAUCACCCCAUUAAAUUUGCCAAGCAGCUCCUCUGAAAAUGUUCUUCACAAAAAAACACUAGCAAACCACUCAUUGGUUUAGAAGACAAAAUAAGAGUGACAAUGUGAUUCUAGCCUAUUGAAACAACACAGAGCAGACAAUCCCCCUCCCCAAACCCCUUGCUGCACACCUGAACCUUUUGAUUUAGUUUGUGGUGAGUGGUGUACAUGUGAGGUCAUUUGAAUGGGGUGAUCAUGUGAAGACAGUGGGCCUUUAAACUGUUAGUUCAGAAUAAAUCUGUAGAGGUCUUUACACAGCUAGAUCCAGUAAUGUGUGAAAUGUGGCAGCUGGCUUACAGAGGUCUGGUCCCUGCCUGCAAUAGUUCCUCUCUCUGUCUGUAGGCAUCUCCCUGCAGUUGCCACAGGUGCACCAAGGUGGUGGCUCACCAUUCUGCCGUCAGUAAAUCUCUAGAACAUAAAACACCAACCCUGGCUCUCAAUGAAACAUCAGCCUCACCACCUCCCUGUUGUCUGCAUCAUCGAGCUCCUUGAUGAGAAAUUCCUGAAUGAACAAAUGCACACACAGCCUGUUAUCAGUAAGGCAGAAUGUGUUAUUUCUCUCCACACCCAACUAAAGGUAUUUCUCAUAUGGAUGGUCAAGGUCUACAAUUCAUUCAAAGCCAAUUCAAACACUACUUUAUAUUGCAAAUUGAUGAAACUAGAUAAUGUUUCUAUUGAAUGUAGUAUAUGUGUGGAGAAAUACCAAAAACCAAAAUGUAUUCAGCCACCAAUUAUUCUGUACCAACUAUUCAGCUAUUAAAAAAAACGUUAUUUUGUUAAA